GCCGGGCAUGGUGGCGCGCGCCUGUAAUCCCAGCUACUCAGGAGGCUGAGGCAGGAGAAUCGCUUGAACCCAGGAGGCAGAGGUUGCAGUGAGCCAAGAUUGCACCACUGCACUCCAGCCUGGGCGACAGAGCGAGACUCCGUCUCAA
rnacentral:SRP_RNA from 2 species